rnacentral:rRNA from 1 species
UACAGGGGGGGCAAGCGUUGUUCGGAAUUACUGGGCGUAAAGGGCCAGUAGGCGGCCAACUAAGUCAGACGUGAAAUCCCUCGGCUUAACCGGGGAACUGCAUCUGAUACUGGAUGGCUUGAGUUCGGGAGAGGGAUGUGGAAUUCCAGGUGUAGCGGUGAAAUGCGUAGAUAUCUGGAGGAAUACCGGUGGCGAAGGCGGCAUCCUGGACCGACAUUGACGCUGAGGAGCGAAAGCUAGGGGAGCAAACGGG